GCCAGGCGCAGUGGCUCACACCUGUAAUCCUGGCACUUAGAAGGCUGAGGUGGGCAGAUCACUUGAGCCUGGGAGGUGGAGGCUGCAGUGAGCCAAGAUUGUGCCACUGCACUCCAGCUUGGGUGACAGAGCGAGAUUCUGUCUUAAAAAAAAAGAAAAUAAGGCCAGGCGUGGUGGCUCACNNNNNNNNNNGUGAGCCACCACGCCUGGCCUUAUUUUCUUUUUUUUUAAGACAGAAUCUCGCUCUGUCACCCAAGCUGGAGUGCAGUGGCACAAUCUUGGCUCACUGCAGCCUCCACCUCCCAGGCUCAAGUGAUCUGCCCACCUCAG
rfam:Chlorocebus sabaeus isolate 1994-021 chromosome 11, whole genome shotgun sequence.